CCUACGGGUGGCAGCAGUGGGGAAUAAUGGGCAAUGGGGGAAACCCUGACGCAGCAACGCCGCGUGAAGGAAGGAAGCUUUCGGAAUGUAAAGUUCUUGUAAUGGGGAAGAAAAUAGUGACGGUACCACCAGAAUAAGCCGCGGCGACCGACGUGCCAGCAGCCGCGGUAAUACGUAGGAGGCAAGCGUUAUCCGGAAGGACUGGGCGGAAAGGGUGGGUAGGAGGGUUCGCAAGUCGGCUGUGAAAUCCCGGGGCUCAACCCCGGUACUGCAACCGAUACUGGUGGGCUUGAGUGCUGGAGGGGCAAGCGGAAUUCGUGGUGUAGCGGUGGAAUGCGUAGAUAGUGGGAGGAACACUAGUGGCGAAGGCGGUUUCCUGGACUGUAACUGACGCUGAGGCACGAAAGCGUGGGGAGCAAACAGGAUUAGAUACCCCUGUAGUC
rnacentral:rRNA from 1 species